rnacentral:rRNA from 1 species
AUACUACCUAGUGACCGAUAGUGAACCAGUACCGUGAGGGAAAGGUGAAAAGCACCCCGGGAGGGGAGUGAAAUAGAACCUGAAACCGUGUGCCUACAACAAGUUCGAGCCCGUUAAUGGGUGAGAGCGUGCCUUUUGUAGAAUGAACCGGCGAGUUACGAUAUGAUGCGAGGUUAAGUUGAAGAGACGGAGCCGUAGGGAAACCGAGUCUUAAUAGGGCGCAUUAGUAUCAUGUCGUAGACCCGAAACCAUGUGACCUACCCAUGAGCAGGUUGAAGGUGAGGUAAAACUCACUGGAGGACCGAACCAGGGCACGUUGAAAAGUGCUUGGAUGACUUGUGGGUAGCGGAGAAAUUCCAAACGAACUUGGAGAUAGCUGGUUCUCUCCGAAAUAGCUUUAGGGCUAGCGUCGAUGUUAAGUCUCUUGGAGGUAGAGCACUGUUUGGGUGAGGGGUCCAUCCCGGAUUACCAAUCUCAGAUAAACUCCGAAUGCCAACGAGAUAUAAUCGGCAGUCAGACUGCGAGUGCUAAGAUCCGUAGUCGAAAGGGAAACAGCCCAGACCACCAGCUAAGGUCCCAAAAUAAUUGUUAAGUGGAAAAGGAUGUGGGGUUGCACAGACAACUAGGAUGUUAGCUUAGAAGCAGCUAUUCAUUCAAAGAGUGCGUAAUAGCUCACUAGUCGAGUGACCCUGCGCCGAAAAUGUACCGGGGCUAAAACAUAUUACCGAAGCUGUGGAUACCUUUAUAGGUAUGGUAGGAGAGCGUUCUAUGUGCGAAGAAGGUGUACCGUGAGGAGUGCUGGAGCGCAUAGAAGUGAGAAUGCCGGUAUGAGUAGCGAAAGACAGGUGAGAAUCCUGUCCACCGUAAGACUAAGGUUUCCAGGGGAAGGCUCGUCCGCCCUGGGUUAGUCGGGACCUAAGGAGAGACCGAAAGGUGUAUCCGAUGGACAACAGGUUGAUAUUCCUGUACUAGAGUAUAUAGUGAUGGAGGGACGCAGUAGGCUAACUAAACCAGACGAUUGGAAGUGUCUGGCCAAGCAGUGAGGUGUGAUAUGAGUCAAAUGCUUAUAUCUAUAACAUUGAGCUGUGAUGGGGAGCGAAGUUUAGUAGCGAAGUUAGUGAUGUCACACUGCCAAGAAAAGCUUCUAGCGUUAAUUAUACUCUACCCGUACCGCAAACCGACACAGGUAGUCGAGGCGAGUAGCCUCAGGUGAGCGAGAGAACUCUCGUUAAGGAACUCGGCAAAAUGGCCCCGUAACUUCGGGAGAAGGGGCGCUGACUUAUGGUCAGCCGCAGUGAAUAGGCCCAAGCAACUGUUUAUCAAAAACACAGCUCUCUGCUAAAUCGUAAGAUGAUGUAUAGGGGGUGACGCCUGCCCGGUGCUGGAAGGUUAAGAGGAGUGCUUAGCGUAAGCGAAGGUAUGAAUUGAAGCCCCGUAACUAUAACGGUCCUAAGGUAGCGAAAUUCCUUGUCGGGUAAGUUCCGACCCGCACGAAAGGCGUAAUGAUUUGGGCACUGUCUCAACGAGAGACUCGGUGAAAUUUUAGUACCUGUGAAGAUGCAGGUUACCCGCGACAGGACGGAAAGACCCCAUGGAGCUUUACUGCAGUUUGAUAUUGAGUAUCUGUACCACAUGUACAGGAUAGGUAGGAGCCUAUGACCUCGGGACGCCAGUUUCGAGUGAGGCGUUGUUGGGAUACUACCCUUGUGUUAUGGCUACUCUAACCCAGAUAGGUUAUCCCUAUCGGAGACAGUGUCUGACGGGCAGUUUGACUGGGGCGGUCGCCUCCUAAAAGGUAACGGAGGCGCCCAAAGGUUCCCUCAGAAUGGUUGGAAAUCAUUCGCAGAGUGUAAAGGUAUAAGGGAGCUUGACUGCGAGAGCUACAACUCGAGCAGGGACGAAAGUCGGGCUUAGUGAUCCGGUGGUUCCGCAUGGAAGGGCCAUCGCUCAACGGAUAAAAGCUACCCUGGGGAUAACAGGCUUAUCUCCCCCAAGAGUUCACAUCGACGGGGAGGUUUGGCACCUCGAUGUCGGCUCAUC